GUGGAGAGACAGAUGGCAGGGGCAGGGUCAAUUCACUCGUCCUCCUACAUCCAGUUGAUGGAGAGCUGGAACUGCAGUGAAAAAACUAUCAAUACAUUUAUAAGGUCUGCGAGCACACCUUGCAACCAACUUAGAAGGCCGACUUGCCUUAAGAUCGGGUGUAAACUUGGACCACACUUCCCGCACCCAUUUGGUAAGAUCUGUGGUCGAGUAUUUGUUCAAAUACUUCUCAUGUAAGAACAAAAUAAACUCACAAAUCCUCCAAAAAGCAGCGGCGGAAAUUGUACUAGAAUACCCGAACAAGAAGGCUUCGGUGUAUUUUGUGCCCGGAAAACCGAAGACGAAACACAGCAGCAGAACAUUAAGCAGCGGAAAGCUAUUCAAUAGGUACCAGAAAGUACUAAGAAAACUUGGUGGCUUA